GCAAUGUUCCAGAUAGUGACCACUCACUCAGCUAGGGUUCCAGAGGGAGGAAGAUGCAGAGCAGAGCCCCAGCUGACCUGCAGUGGACAUAUGAGGCUGGAUGUCGGGCAGCUGAAGGGUGAUCAGUCUUCUGCUGGAAUUAAAGCCUGCUGUGAUGUUAAUGAAGAACCGCCAGUGGGUUUGCUGGAAGGGGGAAAUUUGGAGACAGACACAUACACAGGGAGAUGCCGUGUGAAGACUUGAGUUCUGCUGCCA
rnacentral:lncRNA from 10 species